UACGUAGGGUGCAAGCGUUGUCCGGAAUUAUUGGGCGUAAAGAGCGUGUAGGCGGCCCGAUUAGUCUGCUGUGAAAGUCCAGGGCUCAACCCUGGGAUGCCGGUGGAUACUGUCGGGCUCGAGUCCGGAAGAGGAGUGUGGAAUUCCUGGUGUAGCGGUGAAAUGCGCAGAUAUCAGGAGGAACACCAAUGGCGAAGGCAGCACUCUGGGACGUGACUGACGCUGAGACGCGAAAGCGUGGGGAGCAAACAGG
rnacentral:rRNA from 1 species